rnacentral:lncRNA from 1 species
GCCUGCGCGUUGGGGCGGCCGGUGAUGAGGCCGGCAAUGUAGGACAGGGGAACCAGGUCACCGGACGCGGUGAUGGUGCCACGGAGCGGCAGGCACGGCGUGACGCCGGUGUUGAGCAGCUUGGUGAUGGCCUCGAGGAUCUCGAACCGGAUGCCGGAGUAGCCCUGGAGGAGGGUGUUGAUGCGCACGAGCAUGGCCGCCCGCACCGUCUCCGACGGCAGCGUGUGGCCAUCGGAGCCAGUGCCGAAGAUUCCGGCGUUGAGAUGCCUGCAGCAGCAGAAGCACGCACAUGGUCAGAGACGACAGAUCGACAGCUAGAUGCAGUGGAUGCAUGGAUGGCUACUACUGUACAGAAAACCGUUAAAUUAACUGCCAAGUUGCAGCCCAAACAAGUAAACCAGACGACAAAUUGGAACAACUGGUUGUAAACUCUUGUCCUCUGUUACAACUCGCAUCGGGAUUUGGAAACAAGAACACCCUAUGGCCCUGACAAUUGUACGACUACUCAACAUGUUUUUUCCUUGAGUCACUUGUGCUCCCGGCUAACUGGCACGCGUGGGGCGUGACACGACUAGAUCUGCACAAGAACCAGUCCUACAAAAAUAUCCCAGUAUACAUUUUCCAUCGAAAUUCCAUUUUCAGCAGAGAAAGAAAGAAAAAAUCUAUACGCGCAUUUAUCCAUAAAACUAUUAAAUACAGAUAUAGUAUAUAUCUUCUGACUUCUCCACCAUGAUACUCGUACGUGCCGACUUGUCAGUUUGUCACCCAUCCUAUGGCACAUAUACUACUCCUAUAUCCUACCACUGGAUUUUUUUUCCGCCAACAAAAUUUUAUACUACUUUUAUUCAUUUUUCUAAAGAACAUAUGUAUAUUUCUUUUCAAAGCAUAUAGGAGUAAAGUAUGUACCAACAAAAUAAAGUGGUUUCCUGAGAGCGUGUCACCGGGCGGGCACAGGAGGAGCGUGACCUGUUUUUCCGCCGCGCACGCCGGUGGCGUGCGCAUACUCUCGGUAGUACGACGAGACCACCGCGCGGUGCGGGGAAAACGACGCCCCACCAGACGCCUCGCUCGCGCGAACUCGCUGUGUCGCGCGCGCCGGUGAGAUAGAUCUGGCCGUUUUUUUCUUUUUUUUUUUCAACUGGAGCUGUGCUGGUGGUGUAUAUACUACACAUGAGACAAGUUUUCCAGCUUGGUACUAGAAUUAAACAGCUUGGAUGCUGUACUUGACUUUAUGCUAUGAGCAAAAAAUUCCAUGCUGGUAAGGGAGUGCAUUUAUUUGCUUCUGUUUUUUUCUUUUGCUAAUAAAGAGUAGGAACAGCCCAUGAAUCUCAGGGGAUGGCCAAGAAAAAGGGCACAUCGCUUUUUGCCUUUUUUAACUUGCAUUUUAUAUCUUUGAUGCUACUGCUACUCAUCAGUCAUGACUCAUGAGGUGAGCUGGGAUCAUGAGCUGUGUGUCUAUCUAUGGGCGAAGUUGUACUUCUACAAUAAGAAAUUCAUAAAAACUCCCGGUAAACGCGGGGGGACGAAGUGGUUGAAAGUGGAUCUAUGCUAUCCAUAGCAAUUAAGGCAGUAAUGAAGUAAUUAAUUGGAUGAUUGUUUUUUACCUGAGGAGCUCGACUUGGAGGGCGGGGCCGUCCUUGGUGCGGCGGUGGGAGGUGCCGCCGAAGCCGGUGGUGACGCCGUAGAUGUCGCCGCCGUGGGCGAUGCAGUUGAGGAUCCACUCGCUGCUGGCCUUGACGCGGGGGCGGGCCUCCUCGUCGAGCUCGACGGCGACGCCGGCGGCGUCCUUGGCCUGGGCGACGGCGGCCACCUGGCCGACGCGGAGGGUGGCGCCCUGGAUCUUGACCAGCGGCUCGCGGAACUGCGCCACCAUGCGCUUCACCUCGUCGAGGUGGCUGCCGGCCAUCUCGGCCGCCGCCGCGCCCCAGUUGAGCGGGUCCUCCUUGUUGAUCGGCCCGUUGCCCGCCAUUGCUACGGUGGUGGUGGUGGGCACGAGGAGAAGAGAGGAUUCGAUACUGAAGAAGAGCCGGAGGAGAAGGUAGUGAGCUCUUCUUGGAGGGAAAUGGAGGCGGAGGGGGCGCUUAAAUAGUGGCGCGGUGGACGGGGUGGGCGGGUGUAGGUAGGUAAGGCCUUUUCCUCUCUUCUCCCUCUGCCUAGUGGGUUGGUUGGUGGCUUGUAUGGUGGAUCUAUAAAAAAAAAAGAUAUAUAACUUCCAUCCUACUUUACUUUUUUGUUCCAUGGAGAAUGGUUUUUUCAUGUGCACUUGAACAUCACUACAUUAUCAUAUUUGGCCAAAAUUAAUGAAGGGCCAUAUUUGAAACACAUAAUUUCUCUUAGUUUCUAUAUGGGUCGAACUAUUUCUUGCGAUAAUAUUGCCCGUGGUCCAAACACGGAACGAUGAUUAUGACUUUCAAAAUUGAAACCGCCGUCGUGUUCACGAGUAAUCUAACCAACCUGAUGAAAAAUUUGGGACUUUUUGAAUGAAAGUGCCUCUUUUUUAGAAAAAAGAAUUUGUGGUGUGCAUUUGCCGAUGCUUUUGCUCACUUUUAAGAAUGUUUGUUUUCCAAUGGUUUUCCCUUUGUUCUAAAACUUUUCUGUUGUUGGUGAUCACGCAGUAGCCAGUAGGAAAGUGAAGGAGGGACAAAUCUCACCAACCCUGAAAAGGAAAACCAGGCUGCUCUCGAGUGGAAACCGGAGUUGUUGGCUGGACAAUUAUUGCGUGUGCAUCUCUGCCGAACAAAAAAAAAGAAGAAGAGAAAAUCAUUUGCUCUUCGCACUCAGCAGCACGCUCUGCGAUUAUUCACGUCAGUGCAAGGUCACUACACCUUAGAGAUAGAUAGAUAUGUCUCUCUUAAUAAAAAAAACAAAACAAGGAUUGAUAGAUCGAUAUAUAUCUAGAAGAUAUACCUCAACACUUCAACAGACAUUUUAGACUCAUUUGCUUGGAUAUUGUUUUCCACAUUUGCUGACUGUGUGAGCCAGCACACGGCUGGACUGUCAAAAUGGCAACCAGAAUCUCCCCCUUGUGCAAGGAUCACAAAAGAACAGAGCUCCAAAUCAUGUUAAAAGAGAUUAUAACCAGCACUCUAGCAGGUAUUGCAUUUAUGUGUACUAAUUAAGGAAAACCUUAUGUAAAAAUCCAAAUCAUAGAUUCUUAUCGGUUUUAAGUUUGUCUAUCUCGUUAAUAUUAUUUUGAUGAGAUACGGACAAAUAAUAAUUUUAAGGGGACAAUGAUAUAUAGAUAGAUGUUAUAAAAAAAUGGAGUUGACAUAUGUGCGUUUUAGGAAUUGGUAGACUACUUGUUUAGGUUGGUUCGGGGUCGUGAUACAAAGAAAACAAAAAUUUAUUUUUCUGUAGUUACAAAACAAACGAAUGUGGAGAUAAACCCAAAUCAUAGAUUCUUGUCAGUUUUAAGUUUCUCUAUACCGGUAAUAUUCUUUUGUUGAUAUACCAACAAAUAAAAACCUUGAGGGGGUCAAGCGGUACAUAAUUGUUAUAAAAGCGUAGUGACAUAUGUGUGGAUGUGUUUUAGGUAUUGGUAGACGACUUGUUUGGCUCGGUUUGGAGUUGCAACUCAAAGAAAACAAAAUUUUAUUUUUAUAGUUACAAAACAAAUGAACAUGGAGAUAAAUCCAAAUCAUAGAUUCUUGUCGGUUUCAAGUUUGUAUAUCCCGCAAUAUUCUUUUGAUGAGAUACCGACAAAUAACAACUUUAGUGGGGGCGGGGGGGUAACGGUCGAUAACUAAUAUAAAGAUGUAGCGACAUACGUGCACAUGCGCUUUAGGUAUUGGUAGACGUGCGUAUGCGUUCUACGUAUUGGUAGAUGACUUGUUUGGCUUAUUUCGGAAUCACAAUUCAAGGAAAACAACAUUUUUAGGUUUUUUUAGGUACAAAACAAACGAAUGUGGAGAUAAAUCCAAAUCAUAGAUUCUUGCCGGUUUUAAGUUUGUCUAUCCCGGUAAUAUUCCUUUGAUGAGAUACCGACAAAUAACAACUUUAAGGGGGUAGCGAUAGAUAACUGUUAUAAAGACAUAGCGACAUACAUGCACAUGCGCUCUAGGUAUUGGUAGAUGACUUGUUUGGCUCGGUUUGGAGUCACAACUCAAAGAAAACACAAAUGUAGUUUAAUUAUAAAACAAAAGGAUAUGGAUAUAAAUCUAAAGUGUAAAUUCUUGUCAGUUUGAAGCUCAUCAUUCCUGGUAAAUAUUCUUUGAUGAGAUAUCCACAAAUAACAACUUUAAAAGGUAACGAUAGACAACUAUUAUAGAAGGUAGUAACAUAUGUGCGAAUGCGUUCUAGAUUAUUGGUACACGAUUUGUUUGGCUCAGUCCAGAGUCGCGACUUAAAGAAAACAACAUUUUACUUUUAGUUACAAAACAAGCGGAUGUGGAUAUACAUCCAAACCACAUAUUCUUGUCGGUUUUAAGUAUUUUAUCCCGGUAAUAUAAGAUAACAAAUGUGUUUGUGGAAUCAGGGUUAAUAACAAAAGGCAGGGGUCAAAAAAUUAUAUACCUUGUUUCAGAGUAACCUUCUGAGCCAACUUCUUGGACAUAUAUUUUUUCCUUUUCGCAUAUUAACAUGGAAAUAUCUAUGGAGUUUUGUUAUAGAUAGACUACAAAAGUAAGGAUAUCUGCGAUAUAUAAUGCAUUGAUGACAGCUAACCAAGAUAGACAUGGGCAUGCCUUAUACUCCCUCCGUACUCAUAAAGGAAGUCGUUUAGGAUAAUGUUUAAGUCAAACAUUGGGAAUAUAAAUCAUAAAUAACUCUCAAGUUGUUGAGUUUGAAACUAUAAAAAUUAUAUGAAUAUAUUUGUCUUGAAAAAUACUUUCAUAAAAGUAUACAUAUAUUACUUUUCAAUAAAUAUUUUUAUAGAAACAAGAAGUUAAAGUUGUGUUUUGAAAACCGUGUCGCUAUCCAAAAUGACUUUCUUUACGAGUACGUAGGGAGUACCCUCGUUAGCUUCAAAUUUUAAAAGAUAUAUAAGAGGCACCUAGGUCAAAUACAUUUAUUUGGAGACAAAGUGAUAUGCAACCGCAGCCCUUCAUAUCUAGCACUACCAGUAUCAUUAAUCAACAGUGGGAAAAAAAACAAAAAUUGAAUGCAGUGCUAAUAGUAGUGCUAGGGGGGACAACAUAGAAUUGGUCAUGGUUGCGAUGGUGCAGUAGAUAACAAGACGAUCAAAUUUGAUUAUAAUUUUAUCAUGGUCUUUCCUGCUUCUUGUUUUCUUUAAUAUAAGUCAGUUAUAAAUUAAAAUGACAUAUGGUGUUUUUUUUUCCAGAAAAGUAGUACUAGGUGGAACAAAAAUCAAAAGAUGAAAUAUCUUCCAUGCCUAUUCCUAUUAAUGAAGUUUAGUGAGAUGCAUGCCUCCAAUUAAUUGUUGGUGUGACAGGUUGAAAGUGAUUCUCUUCUCCCACAGGAUUCCCCUUUUAAUUAAACCUGGUUCAGAGAAGUUCAUCGUGAUUAUAUUGAUAUGGAAAAAGUACGCCGAAGACCUCUCAACUUGUCAUCGGGGUUUCCCAGACUGCCGGGGCCGGGGUUACCGCGCCCCGGCAGUAAGCACGGUUACCGCGCGGUAACCGCACCGCGGUAACCGUGAAAAACCGUACAAAACCGUGCAAAAUUUAUCAAAAAUUCAAAUUAUUUUUUAAAUUUAUUUGAAUUUAAGGAGGUUACCGCGGUAUUUAUAUUACCGUACCCCCGCGGUAAGCCCGGUAACCGCGCGGUUACCAGCGGUAAGUCGAACCCUGCUUGUCAUCGAGUUACAAAAUUGUUCCCUAACCGCAAAACCAGAUAUAUGACACCCCUCAACUCACAAAACCGUACACUUUAAGUCCUUCGGUUGUUUUGACCCCAGUUUUAUCCGAUGUGGCUGCUGAGUCAGCAUGGGACCACAUGGACCCCACAUGUCAGUGUAUCCACGUCAGCACCCUCUCUCUUGCCCCUCUUCUCUCUCUUCCUCCUCUCUCACAUUCUUCUCGUUUGGAUAGGCCAGUCGACAGGUGGAGAGGAGGUUGGCAGUGUGAGGCAGGAGAGAAGGAGGGCAUCGGCGGCCGGCGACAGGCGACGUGGCGGUGGCAGCAACAACAAGGGAGAAGGGGAGGCGGUGGUUGCAGAGGCCGCAGGCGUGGAGGAGGGCGUUGGUGGUCGACGACGGGCGAAGCAGGAGAAGGGGAGGCAGCGGCGCACGAAUUCACGCCGCGGUUGCAUCUCCUCCGCCGCCGCACCACACUGCGGCAGGGUCGAGCGAGCCAUGGAACAUUGGCAUCAAGGUGGAGCAGCUAGGUACGGCCGGCAGCCAGUGGGGGAGCAGCUGGGCGCGGGCGACGGGCGUAGGCGGCGGGGGGAGGAGCUGCGCAUGGGCGGUGGCUGGCGGGGAAGCAGCUGGCCACCCCACUUCCAUCUCUGGCACGAGCCGCUUGAAUGCCUCCGUGUGGUGCUCGUCGUUGUCACCGGCGAGGCGACGCAUAUCCAUGACACUGGCUGAGUCGUCGUACUCGGCCUCGAUGAACAUGACACCUAGGGAGAUGGCCGCAACAGAGUAGUCGAUGACGACAUUGUCGUGGGAGGGGCGUUUGAGCUUCUUCCCCGACGCCUGCCUCCCGCACGCAGCUCCUCCCCCGCCGCCCACGCGUAGCUCCUCCCCCCGUCGCCCAUGAAUUCAUGCUCAUGGGCCCGCUUCUCCUCCGCCGCCGCCUCGUGGGCCUCGUCCCCUCCCUCCUCGCGGCGCACCCGUUCGUCUCGCACGACGUCAGCGUCGCUGCCAUUACCGCCGCCACGUCACUGCCAUUACCGCUGCCGCGUCGCCCGUCGCCGGGCACCGACGCCCUCCUCCUCUCCCGCCUCAUCCCGCUAGCCAGCCUCGCAGAGAAGUGAGAGAGAGAGAGGAGGAAGGGAGAGAAGAGGGGAAAGAGAGGAGGUGUUGACGUGGACACGCUGACAUGUGGGGCCCACGCUGACUCAACCACCACGUCGAACAACGAUCAAAACCGCUGAAGGACCUAAAGUGAAUGGUUUUGUAAGUUGGGGGAUGUUAUAUAUCUGGUUUUGCGGUUGAGGGACGAUUUUGUAACUCGAUGACAAAUUGAGGGACCUUCGGUGUACUUUUUCCUAUUGAUAUUCCGGACCAACAAAAAAGAUCUGGCCCGAUCCAUUGCCUCAUCCCAAUCGGCCCAAGCUUCGUCGGCCUAGGGUUACCUACAUCAGAAAUAAGAAAAUGGAAGCAUUUUAGAGGGUGGAUCAUGCGACUAACAAGUAACAACCAUGCCGAAUUGCUGUACUGGCUGUCUGAAGCUAAGCCCGUAUACGAACACCAACACAAGGCCAGCCAAACAAUUGAAUGCACUAUUCAGCGGACAAUAGGAGUAUAUUAUUAGUGUAUUGCUCAGUUGAAGACUUGUAGCCUCAUCUUUUGCACUGCAAGAAGUACUCGUGUUACUCAUGGCUAAAAACUCUUCACGUCAGUUUGUCUGCAGCACGUGCGUGUGUGCAGGUUUAUCUCAGUUCCUCACAGGAUUACGGCGAUGACGACGAGAGGCCUUUCUCUUCUCUGACCGUCUUUCGAUCGCAUCCAUCUGCAUUCGUGCAGAGUAGUAGUCGGCUGCCGCUUCUGUUCCAGGCCGAGAUAAAGUGACAAAAACCACGGCCUGCAAAUUCAACAUCUGAGACACUACCUACCAAAAAGCCGAAAUGGUACUAGCUAGUUAUGACUUGGUUGCAUGGAUUGCUGGUAGAGGUUUGGUUGAACACUACUACUACAACCUCUAGAUGGAUGUCUUUUUUCUUUUUUCUCACCUAGUAUCUCAGCUGAACCUAAUGAUCGAUGUGUUGUCCAUAUCCAUUAAUCCAUAUGCAGCUCUGAACUGUACUCCUCUGAAGCAGACAGGUAGUUGAACUGGCUGUACGUUUCUUUUGCGAUCAGAUACAUGACAAGGAGCAUGCUUCUCGGUUUAGCUUACGCAUCUGCAGAAGCCAACGCCGAAUGAUGGUUUGUGAGCAGUGAACGACUACGAAGGCGAAAGUACUAUUGUGUGAUUGUGAAGCGGUAUAUUAGUCUUGUAUCUCUGACUCUGUCAUUAUUCGAGUUUUACUCAACUGACAUAAGUUUCGGUCCUUUUUUUAAAAGAAAAAUAAUGGAUAGAAAUCUGGCCUCUAUAUGCACAAGUGGAUAUACACAGCAAAUGAUUGAGUUACAGUCUCUGCCCCUCUUUAAAAUGCUACGACCUAUACUCUUUCUUUUUGCAAACAUCUCUUUCUUGAACUCUGAUCAUGAAGAAAAACAGAGUUUUCUUGUUUUAAAUAGAGCUAAAACUGAACAUCUUUGGUUGGUAGGAGUAUUUUUCUGCUGCUUUUUUUUCUCUUGUGUAGUUUAGUUCUAUCCAUAAAAGCAUUUGGCUAGGCGGCAGGAGCAACGAGAAAUCUAGUAGCAGCAUGUUACGAACAGAUAGCUGAAGCAAGCUCUGGAUCUGGUCCUUCAAUCUCGCAUCUACUUGCAGUUAGGAAUUCAAUUGAAGCUUGCGGCUACAUCACGCCAUGUGCAGAUGUGGCCUCUAAUGAUCAACUUAACUGUUCGUCUAUUGGGUGCCCCUGCAGUAAUCAUGCGCUUGUAUAUAAAAGGUCCUGUACUGUGGAGAAAAUUAGUGAAUAGUGCGGACAAGUCUCCCAGGAAUCUUGCAUCUUUGCAUUUGCAGCUGCAAGCAAGGGUGUCAACCUCGUUGCACUGACACAAUUAGCUGUCAUAAAUGGGGGAGUUUCUAUCGGUGAGAAGGAUCGCUCAUGCCCCCAUGGCUGUACAUCAAGGUUGGAGGAGCAAACGAACAAGGCACGUUGACGUCUGAACUAGAAUCAUUUUUGAAGUCUUGGGCCGUCUUUAGUCCCUGUCUAAUUUUUUUUAAAGUAUACGGACACACAUUUAAAAUAUUAAACGUAGUCUAAUAAUAAAACAAAUUAUAGAUUCCACUUGUAAACUGCGAGACAAAUUUAUUAAGCCUAAUUAAUCCGUCAUUAGUAAAUGUUUACCGUAGCACCACAUUAUUAAAUCAUGGUGUAAUUAGGCUCAAAAGAUUCGUCUCUUAAUUUACAUGCAAACUGUGCAAUUGGUUUUUUUUCGUCCAUAUUUAAUGCUUCAUGCAUAUGUCCAAAUAUUUAUUUUUUUAAAAAAAAAUUAAAAACAUAAGUCACGAAUAAAAUAUUAUUCAUGUUUUUUUAAAAAAAAUUCAAAUAAGACGAACGGUCAAAAUUGGACGCGGAAAACCAUGGCUGCACUUAUUUUGGGACGGAGGAAGUAGUAUUUCUCGUUAUGAUCUCCACUGCUGGUGGACAGUAGAGCAAAACUGAUCAACAAAGAAAAAAACAUCUAGGUUGUGUUUAGUUCACACUAAAACUAAAAUUAAAAGUUUGGUUGAAAUUGGAACGAUGUGAUGGAAAAGUUGGAAGUUUGUGUAUGUAGAAAAGUUUUGAUGUGAUGGAAAAUUUGGAAGUUUGAAGAAUUAUUUUAUAACUAAACAGGGCGCUACUCUUGUAUGCAUCACAAACUGAGUAGCUAGUACAAGGCUGUGUUCAGUUCCUUUUAAAGUUGAAAGUUUAGGUUGAAAUUGGUACGAUGUGACUGAAAAGUUAUAUGUGUAUGACAUGUUAAUGUGAUGGAAAAAGUUGAAAGUUUGAAUCCAAAGUUUGGAUCUAAACAUAGCCCAAAGUACAUCCAAUUUCAACAGAGUUGGGAGUUUGGACCAUGAAUCCAGGCGUAGUACCACUGCUUAUUGAGAAACACACGCUUCCAUGAUACCGACCACAUUUUCUCGUGGUAGGUACGAAUAACAAAUUGUAACAGCCAUCCUCGCGAGCUGACCACCAUGAUUAUAUAGCGAUUGGCCACCUGCAAAAGUUAGUCUGACUUGAACAUGGCCGCGUGUCUCCUGCAUUUUCGUGAUCUUGUACAGUUGUAAGUACCAUCAGAAAUAGAUACUGCUACAAAUCAGCAUUUUCGAGAAUAGUGUGUGUGGGCGCGCGCUUGACAAGACGAAAUGGAUGUGAAGAACUUCUUCAGAGAACGAGCAGCAGCUGUAAAACAAAAUAAUUUACUUUAGUCCCCCAACUUAUACAAAUUUACAGCACCAAAAGUUUCAGAAAGCUGCGUGCCAGGCCAUGCGGAACUGCAGGUUAUGGCAACCGCAGAAGCUGAAACAGCAACAGUAACAUCAAGUUAACUACAAAGAACCGUAAAAUAGUAUCAUCAC